GACGUAGGGCGCGAGCGUUGUCCGGAUUUAUUGGGCGUAAAGAGCUCGUAGGCGGCUCGUUGCGUCGGCUGUGAAAACCCGCAGCUCAACUGUGGGCUUGCAGCUGAUACGGGCGGGCUGGAGUUCGGUAGGGGAGACUGGAAUUCCUGGUGUAGCGGUGAAAUGCGCAGAUAUCAGGAGGAACACCGGUGGCGAAGGCGACUACCUGGCCUGUUUCUUGACGCUGAGGCGCGAAAGCUAGGGGAGCAAACGGG
rnacentral:rRNA from 1 species